GUGGGGAAUAUUGGACAAUGGGCGAAAGCCUGAUCCAGCCAUGCCGCGUGUGUGAAGAAGGCCUUUUGGUUGUAAAGCACUUUAAGCGAGGAGGAGGCUACCGAGAUUAAUACCCUUGGAUAGUGGACGUUACUCGCAGAAUAAGCACCGGCUAACUCUGUGCCAGCAGCCGCGGUAAUACAGAGGGUGCGAGCGUUAAUCGGAUUUACUGGGCGUAAAGCGUGCGUAGGCGGCUUUUUAAGUCGGAUGUGAAAUCCCUGAGCUUAACUUAGGAAUUGCAUUCGAUACUGGAAAGCUAGAGUAUGGGAGAGGAUGGUAGAAUUCCAGGUGUAGCGGUGAAAUGCGUAGAGAUCUGGAGGAAUACCGAUGGCGAAGGCAGCCAUCUGGCCUAAUACUGACGCUGAGGUACGAAAGCAUGGGGAGCAAACAGGAUUAGAUACCCCGGUAGUCC
rnacentral:rRNA from 1 species